AGGAAGACCAUUGAUGAGUUGGACAAAAAUGCCGACUUGCAGGGUCUUCCUAAAACAGGCUUGGAUGAAUCUCGAGAUUGGAAAAAUGUCACUGUUGACACUUCAUUCUCCUUUGGGUCACUGAGAGCUACAAUAUCGAGCAUGAUGGAACAAAUUCACCAGGAACUGGAAAAACUCUCUUCUGUUGAACUCAAGAGGAUUCCCACAUUUGCAGGUGUGUGACCCAGAAUAUUAAGAGAAAAUGUCAGUAAUUAAACAAUGAAACCUGGUCAUGGUUU